GAGGGUUCUUCCUGCGAGCAUCGACAGUGGACUCCCCGGACAGAUAGCUGGGUAUCGACGCAUACUCUGACGUGAUGAAACCAAUCAUCUGCAUUAGUGUCCAUGGAGAUAUGCCCCACCCACUCUGUUCAGAAAUGUUGUGUUUAAGAUCACGUCAGUGGAUGUGAGCAAGUUUGAGGUGUCUGGUCGUUUCCUGGGCAGGUAGAUAGAGAAGGUGGAGCUGGUCUUCCAGGACCUCCUUCAGCUGCAAUACAAGGGCCUGGCAAUCAUGAAGAUGUUUGGAAGGGCCAAAGUGAACGUUAAUCUGCUCAUCUUCCUCAUAAACAAUAAUCGUCAGAGCGUUAAAUUGGAUUUUUCAUUAGCAUAAUAUAUUCAUUGACAAUUCACAGCAGUGCAUUUGAGCAUUGAAUUAUUUAUAUCAUCUGCAUGUACUAUUGACACGUUGAUUAACGACCUAAUGUUCUAACAUAUACUAUUAUAGUACUUCGCUACUUUUCUCUAAAUAAU